rnacentral:rRNA from 1 species
GUGUCAGCAGCCGCGGUAAGACGGAGGGGGCAAGCGUUGUCCGGACUUACUGGGCGUAAAGCGCGUGUAGGUGGUUCGCUGCGUCGGCGCUGAAAUCUCCAGGCUUAACCUGGAGGCGCGUGCCGAUACGAGCAGACUAGAGGCAGGGAGAGGGUAGCGGAAUUCCGGGUGUAGUGGUGAAAUGCGUAGAGAUCCGGAGGAACGCCUGUAGCGAAAGCGGCUACCUGGUCCUGUCCUGACACUGAGACGCGAAAGCGUGGGGAGCGAACCGGAUUAGAUACCCUGGUAGUCC